AUUAUACACUUAUGACUAUGACAAAUUCACUAUUUCUUUGCAGCUCCUAGUUUAAAGGCUAUGGGAGACCAUGAAAGACCCUCAGUCCUUACUUCUCAGGAUGCAACUGAUGCAGUUGAUGGGAAUCUGUUUCCCUGUUCAUUGGAAAGCAUCAGUCUGAUAUCCCCACCCACCUUCGCAUGAGCUGUGUAAGGAAUAAAUGCAACAGUGCAGUCCUGAUAUUGCAAAGCAGAGGAAGACCUCACAAGAAUACCGACAUUGUGUGACUUCUCAAUUUCAUCAGAAUAGUUGGAAAGGAACAACAGAAAAAAGAGUGCACAUGUGCUGGGGUGGUCACACACGGGUGGAAGCGAGGCUAUGCAGAAGACUGUGAGAAUUUGCGUCAACAAAGACUCACCAUUGCACAAUUGUGGCAAGGUGCAAAAGAGAUCAUUCCAAUCACACUAUGUUUCCAUUUGUUCGAACAGCAUGCCUCAAUAGGCCCCCAAGACUCAAGAUACAUUUUGGGGAGUGCAUUGUGUUCUAAACACAUGAGUGAUCCUUUCCAGAUCUUAACAUUCAACAGUGUUCUCAUAGUGCAGUCUUCCAAACAGAUGUAAUGCCAAAGAAUGAGUGGAACCACAAAACUUUCUUCAUUCAGCCAAAGAUGAUCUAUUAAUAAAUAAAUAAACCUUUCUAUAUCUAACAUUUUAGCCACACAAACAGAAAAUUUAAUAUUAAUGGGAAAUUGUAUUAUUUAUUUUUUGGAAAUAACUCUGACAGAAGCUAGAGGUGGCAGCCCUGUUGGAAGAUUGAAGAGCAAAAUGAGUUGAGCUGUGAGUGGCAGACGAAAUGAAGAAGAAAACUUACAAAAGAUCCUACAGUGUGUUAGACAUUUAGUAAUGCUUAGCUGAAGCUUGUCUUCUUGUUAUUGAUAUGGGCUAAAUAAUUGGUGGCAGGUAGUAAGGGGUACCGUGGAGACUAUCGUGUCAAAGAUUUCAACAAAGAGAUUUGCAGGUUUAUGCAAACAUCAAAAUUUUGUCACUACCUUAACAUCCUAGUUUAGACUGCAGAUGGGUACUCACAGAAAGUUCAGAAAGACUGAGUUCAUAAGGCUCCAGUAAGUUCUUGUAUACAAUCAGUCAAUUGAUGUGGAUCAUAUAUUCUUGUUACCACACAAUAUAUACACUCAGAAGAUAGUAAGGACCUCAUCAGAUGGAGAUUAGUCUCCGUUUCUACAUACUUCAAAGAUAAAAUCCCAUGGAUCCCAUCAAACAACACAUAACCCAUUCCAAGGGUUGCCCAUGGGAUUCUGUCUCCACAGCGUGUAGAAACGGGUGGAUUUUAAAGAUAGGGUAGAUUGACUCCACUCCUUGUGCAUAGAAAUGCUUAAAACAGGGGUUUUUCUGUGAGAUGGGAAAUGGUGCAUUUGCCAGUUUUCAAUCCAUUUUCUGAUGUUUAAGUGUGGGCAUGCCCCCCAAUGCUCCUUCUGCCAACAUUAGAUCUUGCCUAGGGCUUUCACUAAUUCAGCAGCACCAAUGGCAGAUGCUCAGAUACUUCACCUGCUCUUUGCUGACUGCAUAUAUUUUCAAUGAGGCUCGUGUCUAAAAUUGGCUGUAGAAAUCUUCCAAAUAACCCCAGCAUGCAAUCAGUAAGUAUGUUAAAAAGCCUCCUUCAUUCUCUACCAGGCCAUUGAAACACUUCCUUCUCAUACCACACCAGAACAAAGUGUUUUAUGUAGACAUACGAAUGGAAGACAUGCUCUAACACCAGAAAGUUUGUAUCAGCUGCUUCAUGGAGAGGCAUACAUUUUUACAAGUCUUUUAUUGCUAGGGAUGGGUGGCAUUUCUGAGGGGGUUUU
ensembl:lncRNA